CCUUAUCCUGAUCCUUUGUUACUCUCACCACGAGGAACCUGCUCACAUUUGCUCUCGUGUACUUUAGUCUCGGCCUUCUUGUUUUUCUGGUAUGAGGACGUGAGCUUCAAAGACCCACAUGUAAAUCAAGUAUAAAGUCACCGUACACUAACCUGACCUAACCUGGCCCUCCUAACUCCAAGCUCCUUAUUAACUAACCUAGUCUAAACAUUGGUGCCACUUCUGCUCUAGUUCACGAAUUAUCACUUAACUAUUGCGUCUGAAGAUCCUGAUCGUCACUGGCACUGUUUUCUCCUCCCUGGAUCAGUUUAGUGCACGGUGACUUGUAUAAUUUAAGUUGUAUAGAAUUUAUCAAUCUUAUCCUCUGUUUCCUAUUAACUGUCCAAAUAACGGUCAUACUUUUGCUUUGAUCCACGAAUGUUUACUGAUGUGCUGGAAGGUUCUGGUUGUCCUUAACACUGGUUUCUCCUCCAGGCGGUGCCGAGUGCCAGUGCAAGACCGCGUCCUGCUGCUGCGG